CUCAGAGUCUCUGAUCCAGCAGGUCUUGGGGUGAGGACCAAAAUUUGCCUUUCUAACAACUCCCCAGGUGGUGCUGAUGUCUUGGUCCUGGACUGUGCUCUGUGGACACUGACAGAGGAUACGUGGAUGUGGGGGAAGGGCCCGGGAGGACUAGGAUGGGAACUCUGGGGGUGGGGAAGAGGCCUCUGGGCCUUGUCGCGCUGCACACCUCCCAUGUGUUCUCAGUGUCCCCAUUCCAUUCUGUGGUGACUACAUUGGGCUGCAAGGGAACCCCAAGCUGCAGAAGCUGAAAGGCGGGGAGGAGGGGCCUGUUCUGAUGGCAGAGGCCGUGAAGAAGGUCAAUCGUGGCAAUGGCAAGACUUCUUCUCGGAUUCUCCUCCUGACCAAGGGCCAUGUGAUUCUCACAGACACCAAGAAGUCCCAGGCCAAAAUUGUCAUUGGGCUAGACAAUGUGGCUGGGGUGUCAGUCACCAGCCUCAAGGAUGGGCUCUUUAGCUUGCAUCUGAGUGAGGUAUCAGAGCUGGGUGGGGCAAGCCUUGGACUGGAGAAGGUGGUAUGCAUCCCAGGGCUGGGGCAGGCUGGAGGUGAUGGGGACCAGACCUUUCGCUCUGGGCCUUUGAUGUCCCUCAGGUGCUCCUGAAGAGAAAAAAUGAAUCCCUUUCCUGCUAUUUUUCCCUCUUCCUAAGAUGUCAUCGGUGGGCUCCAAGGGGGACUUCCUGCUGGUCAGCGAGCAUGUGAUUGAACUGCUGACCAAAAUGUACCGGGCUGUGCUGGAUGCCACGCAGAGGCAGCUUACAGUCACCGUGACUGAGAAGUUCUCAGUGAGGUUCAAGGAGAACAGUGUGGCUGUCAAGGUCGUCCAGGGCCCUGCAGGUGGUGACAACAGCAAGCUACGCUACAAAAAAAAGGGGAGUCAUUGCUUGGAGGUGACUGUGCAGUGAGGAGGGGGCACCAUGCAGAGAUGGCAGUUGCUUCCUCCUGAACCAGCACUAAUCCCCCUCUGCCCUCCUGUGUGGGAGGAUCUCUAACCCCUCUGAUCGUGGCGCAUGGCUUGGGGAUUAAACUACCCUUGAAGAGG
rnacentral:lncRNA from 1 species